CUCGAACGUAAGAUGACUGUAGGUGAAAGCUUUACAUCUCUUCGGAGCAUUUUACGAGGUGCUGCAUGGUUGUCGUCAGCUCGUGCCGUGAGGUGUCGGGUUAAGUCCCAUAACGAGCGCAACCCCUACCUUUAGUUGCCAUCAGGUAAUGCUGGGGACUCUAAAGGAACUGCCUACGCAAGUAGUGAGGAAGGCGGGGAGUGACGUCAAAUCAGCACGGCCUUACGUCCAGGGCGUACACACGUGCUACAAUGGCCGAUACAGAGGGCAGCUACCUGGUGACAGGAUGCAAAUCUCCAAAGUCGGUCUCAGUUCGGAUCGGAGUCUGCAACCCGACUCCGUGAAGUUGGAUUCGCUAGUAAUCGCGCAUCAGCCAUGGCGCGGUGAAUACGUUCCCGGGCCUU
rnacentral:rRNA from 1 species